GUUUUGACAAGAACUGUCAUAUUUCGGUUGCAGGUUUUCACUAAAUACCAAGCUGAUCCUACGAGCUACGACAGUUUUACCUACAAAUGUUUAGCGUUUUGUGCUGCAACUAUUAGUUGAUAUUCUAGGAUGUUAUGCCUAAAAUUGGAAUUCAGCUAUCAGAGAUAAGCAAAAUUUAAGUACUUAAAAGCAAGUAUUGUACUUAUUUUCAAAAUUCAAAGUAAAGUAACAUUUUUGGUUCUAGGCGGAAACUCUAGAUGGCGUUGAUUUGCGUUUAUGAUGAAGAUUAUGGGUGACAAGUUAAAUAGGUGUUUGUUACGUUACCCUGUUAUGUGUUUUAAAGGAUUUUUCGUCAAAAAAUUUACGCUAUGCCAACUGCUGAACCAGCAGCCUGCAUUCCUGCUACUACAAGAGAUCCUGACACUUUAAGAAGACCACUAUUGCUUACAUGAAGAUAACCAUCCAGUUCGAGUACUGUUAAUGGACCUCAAACCUUUUGUUUAAGCUUAGUGAUGUGUACUCUCAUCAGUCAACGACAGAGUCUUCAUAUACUUUGUGUUGCUAACCACCAGCCCUCAGCAUCUCAGGUAUCCAGAUUUCCAAGUUUCUCUGAUUAGCCAAUCAUCAUCCAUACCCUUCAGCUUUUCAUUGUGGCUUCUCUUCCUCUCUUCUUAGUCUGCUGAAUACCAACAUUGAAUAAUGUUCAUCACCAUUGCCUUUCCAUGAUGGAAAAUCUUCAUUGUUAAUCCUGCUGUUCUUCUCACCGUUACUUAGCCAGCUCACAUGGAUAGGCUUUAACAUCUCCAUUUUUGGGACUGCAAAUAUUCAUCUUCCUUCAGUACAACACUGCCGUUUUGACAGCUUCGGUAGUUUCGCUCCCAGUGGACCACACGCAACUACAUUUUCUUCCUCUUCCUGUCGUUGUUGUCUACGACUUCACCUCAUCGCUGUCUUCGUUGACGUCUUCGCCUUCAUCUCCGUCUCGUCGUCUUGGUCGUCUUCGCCUUCAUCUCCGUCUCGUCGUCUUCGACGUCUUUGUCUACGCCAUCACCUCCGUCUCGUCGUCUUCGACGUCUUUGUCUACGCCAUCACCUCGUCGCCGGCUUCUCCUUCGCCCUUCACGCAGGGAAUUCACCGUGGAUCAUCGCUCUGGUAUUGUUUUAUUUUGCAUUGUUAUGUUUAAGUUAACCCGUUGGCUGCCACCCCGUUUGCGUCCCAUUUUUUUUGGUAGCUUGUAGGGACCGGCCGCAAUGGCCUUCGCCGCAAGGCGCCUUAGG